GAUGAACGCUGGCGGCGUGCCUAAUACAUGCAAGUCGAGCGAACAGACGAGGAGCUUGCUCCUCUGACGUUAGCGGCGGACGGGUGAGUAACACGUGGAUAACCUACCUAUAAGACUGGGAUAACUUCGGGAAACCGGAGCUAAUACCGGAUAAUAUAUUGAACCGCAUGGUUCAAUAGUGAAAGACGGUUUUGCUGUCACUUAUAGAUGGAUCCGCGCCGCAUUAGCUAGUUGGUAAGGUAACGGCUUACCAAGGCGACGAUGCGUAGCCGACCUGAGAGGGUGAUCAGCCACACUGGAACUGAGACACGGUCCAGACUCCUACGGGAGGCAGCAGUAGGGAAUCUUGCGCAAUGGGCGAAAGCCUGACGGAGCAACGCCGCGUGAGUGAUGAAGGUCUUCGGAUCGUAAAACUCUGUUAUUAGGGAAGAAAAAAUGUGUAAGUAACUAUGCACGUCUUGACGGUACCUAAUCAGAAAGCCACGGCUAACUACGUG
rnacentral:rRNA from 1 species